UACGUAGGGUGCGAGCGUUGUCCGGAAUUAUUGGGCGUAAAGAGCUUGUAGGCGGUUUGUCGCGUCUGCCGUGAAAAUUCGAGGCUCAACCUCGGACUUGCAGUGGGUACGGGCAGACUAGAGUGUGGUAGGGGAGACUGGAAUUCCUGGUGUAGCGGUGGAAUGCGCAGAUAUCAGGAGGAACACCGGUGGCGAAGGCGGGUCUCUGGGCCGAUACUGACGCUGGAGGAGCGAAAGCGUGGGGAGCGAACAGG
rnacentral:rRNA from 1 species